rnacentral:rRNA from 1 species
CCUACGGGAGGCAGCAGUGAGGAAUAUUGGUCAAUGGGCGGAAGCCUGAACCAGCCAAGUAGCGUGCAGGAUGACGGCCCUACGGGUUGUAAACUGCUUUUAUACGGGAAUAACGCGCCUUACGUGUAGGGCUUUGCAUGUACCGUCUGAAUAAGGACCGGCCAAUGCCGUGCCAGCACCCGCGGUAAUACGGAAGGUCCGGGCGUUAACCGGAUUUAUGGGGUUUAAAGGGAGCGUAGGCCGCAUGUCAAGCGUGCUGUGAAAUGUCCGGGCUCAACCCGGGCCUUGCAGCGCGAACUGACGUGCUUGAGUCCGCGGAAGGCAGGAGGAAUGCGUCGUGUAGCGGUGAAAUGCUUAGAUAUGACGAAGAACCCCGAUUGCGAAGGCAGCUUGCUGCAGCGGAACUGACGCUGAUGCUCGAAAGCGCGGGUAUCGAACAGGAUUAGAUACCCCUGUAGUC